rnacentral:rRNA from 1 species
ACUUGUGUCGCCGCUCUUCAUCCUUCGGACGAACGUGUCUGGCAUUAGGUUGUCGGGCUCGGCAGUCCGAUCAUUUACUGUGAAAAAAUUAGAGUGUUUAAAGCAGGCGUUUGCUGUGAAUACAUUAGCAUGGAAUAAUAAGAUAGGACUUUGGUGCUAUUUUGCUGGUUUGCACACCAAGGUAAUGAUUAAUAGGGAUAGUUGGGGAUAUUCAUAUUCAAUUGUCAGAGGUGAAAUUCUUGAUUUAUGGAAGAUGAACUUAUGCGAAAGCAUUUACCAAGGAUGUUUUCAUUAAUCAAGAACGAAAGUUAGGGGAUCGAAGAUGAUUAGAUACCAUCGUAGUCUUAACCAUAAACUAUGCCGACUAGGGAUUGGCGGGUGUUACUUUAAUGACCCCGUCAGCACCUUAUGAGAAAUCAAAGUCUUUGGAUUCCGGGGGGAGUAUGGUCGCAAGGCUGAAACUUAAAGGAAUUGACGGAAGGGCACCACCAGGAGUGGAGCCUGCGGCUUAAUUUGACUCAACACGGGGAAACUUACCAGGUCC